rnacentral:rRNA from 1 species
GAUGAACGCUAGCUACAGGCUUAACACAUGCAAGUCGAGGGGAAACGGCAUUAAGUGCUUGCACUUUUUGGACGUCGACCGGCGCACGGGUGAGUAACGCGUAUCCAACCUUCCCAUGACUAAGGGAUAACCUGCCGAAAGGCAGACUAAUACCUUAUGGUCUUCACUGACGGCAUCAGAUGUGAAGUAAAGAUUUAUCGGUCAUGGAUGGGGAUGCGUCUGAUUAGCUUGUUGGCGGGGUAACGGCCCACCAAGGCAACGAUCAGUAGGGGUUCUGAGAGGAAGGUCCCCCACAUUGGAACUGAGACACGGUCCAAACUCCUACGGGAGGCAGCAGUGAGGAAUAUUGGUCAAUGGGCGAGAGCCUGAACCAGCCAAGUAGCGUGCAGGAAGACGGCCCUAUGGGUUGUAAACUGCUUUUGUAUGGGGAUAAAGUCAAUCACGUGUGAUUGUUUGCAGGUACCAUACGAAUAAGGACCGGCUAAUUCCGUGCCAGCAGCCGCGGUAAUACGGAAGGUCCGGGCGUUAUCCGGAUUUAUUGGGUUUAAAGGGAGCGUAGGCUGGAGAUUAAGUGUGUUGUGAAAUGUAGACGCUCAACGUCUGACUUGCAGCGCAUACUGGUUUCCUUGAGUACGCACAACGUUGGCGGAAUUCGUCGUGUAGCGGUGAAAUGCUUAGAUAUGACGAAGAACUCCGAUUGCGAAGGCAGCUGACGGGAGUGCAACUGACGCUGAAGCUCGAAGGUGCGGGUAUCGAACAGG